UGUCGCCUCUCCCAAGCAGAAGAGUAAGUGGGCCCACACUUAGAGGAAUGUGAUGCUGAUUUUAAUACAUUAGUGUUUGACCCUCUUCUGAGGAAAGCUUGACAGUGCCACUCAUUUGCAUGUUUGGCCCUCUUUUGACGAUGUAAUUGAUUGCACAAGCACCCUCAUCCCUUUUGUUUAUGUUUUGCAUAAUUUCUCCUUCUGUUUUGCCAUAGAAGUGCCAUUCCUAUUUAGCUGUGCUUCAUCUCUUCCUCUCAGCUCCUCUCAUUCAAGGUGGGUCAACUUCUGACCACUUGACCAUGGGUGACCUCUCUCUGCACACACAGCGGCUGUGAGUUGUAAUCGAUGGUGGUGUUUUUGGUUGUGUGAGGCAACUUGGUGUGAUCUUUUCAUCACUGCUGCUUGAUACGAAACAUCGAUAUCUGCAGUUGGUGCUUAGAUUGAAUAGAGGAUCAUGGUGGGAUUAAGAUCAAUAACAGACAUUUUUGAUUUGGAGGUUCAGCGUAAGGUCACAGCUUGCAUAUCUAUUGUCGCCUUCACACUGGAUUCCUAGUAAAUUGAUGCAUCAAAGGCGUAACAGUAGCGCUGGAUUCAUUCAUCUGUUUCGUUUUGACAGAACUCACCGAAGCGGAACAUUGCAGUGUCCGAAAUGUGCAUUCACAAGGGCGCAAUGAGAGUAUUGAAUUAGUGGUGAUAACUGGUUUCAACACAAAGAGCUGUGGGCAGUGAGGCUCGGUUAUUAAACGUCAGACUACACCAGCUCCGAUACUACCUCAGAAUUACCAAUUACGUAAAAAAGAAAAGUGGAAAGAAAAGCUACCAACCUGUGUUUAAAUCUCAGGAGUUUGUGAUCUAAAAAAUGUGACCAAUACCCAUGCAUCUGCCUAUUAUCUGAACCACACUAUCUGAGCUUAGCCAGCAAGCAGACUAAUCUCUCGACAUCAACCACAGUGCUUGCCUUAUUUUUACAUUUUUGUCUACAUUGGCUCUUUAUUUCUGUUCUAUUUGCACCAAAGGAUGAUUUUGCUUCACAGUAGGUGCGGUGUUUAUUUGGUAAUGAGAUUUGUGUUAGCAUCAAACAGUCCUUUUUGAAAAGGUGCACAACCUAUAUUCAAUCCGACAAACUUUGUUUCAGCAGCAUAUAUCAAAGUCUUCACAACAUUCAGAGUAGCAAAAAGCCAUAUAUCCGUCCUACAAACUCACUAUGAGGAUGCUCUUGCUCUAACAACACACUACCCACCAGAAGUUGUUUGCACGCAAAAACAUCAACUGAGCUGCAUUAUUUGUCAGCAAAAAAUCUUCUAAGCCAGAGUUGAUGUUCAGUUCUGAAUCUCCACUUCAUAUUUCUUGUGCGAGCAAAAACUUAUGUAUUCCCUGAUUACUUCCCUGAGUCUCUGCCUGAUGCAAAUUGACAGAUGGAAAUGGUGAACGAAGUAAAUAUUCCUGCAAACAAAGGAAAGAGAGGACUGAUAACAACCAGAGGACAAACCAGAGUGAACGAGAGAGGGAGAACAAAAGCAUAGCACAUCAAAGAUUUUUCAUCAUCUCUUGGGGCACUUGGCGGAAAGAAGAAAACAGAAUUGCUAUCUGCCCACUUCCAUCUCACUCUUUUUCGUUUAUCUGCUCGCCUUUUCUCAAUGCUUGUCUCUCUAUUAGAACCUGACAGUGGGAGCGGUUGCCUCAUAUCCUUCCUUUGGAGUUCAAAGUCUAUCUGCACCCAUCCUACGAACUUAAGAGGAGAGAUGGAGGGGGAAGAUAGUAGAAAAAGAUAGAUAAGGCGAUGUGAGGCGAAAAGGUGGUGGCCAGAGAGAUGACACAGAUGGAUCAGGGUAGAGUGCAGAUAGGAAAAAUAUGAGGAAAGGAAACUGGUGAAUAGAAUUAUCGGAAAAAUAACUUUUCCAAGAUAUUGGAAAGAGUCCUGGAAAAGAAACAGAAAUAUAACUUAUAAGUGGCAAUAUACUGUAUAUUGUCAAAUAGUGCCUCUGCUCUAAUAAAGGCUGUGACCCGAUUGUCCUCUCACAAAAGCCAGCCCACUCGCAUUAAAAAUAAGAAAUAAUAGUGACCCCAUGAAGAUUUCCAAAGUGUUAAUAAGAAAAAUACUGUAAAACUACAUUACAGUCUGUCUCUAUUUAUUAUUACAAUCUUUGGAAAUGCUAAGUCGCUAGUGUCACAGAUUGUAAUUAGCCUCAUGUUAGGAUUUUGUAGCAGUUACUAUUUUGUUUAAUGAGCUAACAACAACAUAUUACUUACUCUACAGAUGUGCCAUUUCAUUUGGGAGGGAUUCAAUAAUAUUUUGAUGCCGCACAGCUUUAUCUGGUAAUUAAUUUGGCUUUUGUAAACACCCCCACAAAAUGGAAAAAAGGCAUUUAUGAAGUGUACAGUAUACAUUUAAUCUGUUUUAACACAGACAGUAUAGCAAUUUUUAAUUUUAUUUUGCUGUUUAUAUUUUUACAUGUUUGUGGAGAGCCACACAGAGGGACUGAGAAAAUGAGAAAAAUUAUUUGGAGGUAGAAAUUCAAGGAGAGUAGAGCUGUUGAGUCUUAUUAACAGAGAUUGAUGGGCACUGGAAUGAAGGUGACUUUAAGUCAAGGAGGUGAGUUAUGGAAAAGAGAGAAAAAGUUGCUGUAAAUGCAAAGUGAACAUGAAAAAAAAUAUACAUUUAUUGUCAACAUUCGAGCAGAUGCAAUUUUGAAUCUUGCCAACUUCCUCUUCUCGCCUGUCAGAAAUUCAUUUGAUGAAACUCUGACAUUGUUCUUGUUAAGGAGUAUUAUUUCUCAUUUUAUAGUCUGAGGGGAAAAAUGUCGAAACAGACUGUUUCAUCAUUCAAUCCAUUCUGGUAUUUGGACAAUUAUGUAAGAGCCCCAAAUUGGCAGUGUGCAAGGCAUAUAAUUAUGAAAUGAAAGCGACAAUUACAUGAGUGAUAGCGCAGCAGCCAUUUCAGGUGUUCCUCUGUCUGUGUGUUUGUUUCAGGGAGAUAUACUUGAAGCCGACUAUGAAUUACUGACUUGUAAAAGUAACAAAUUAGUGUAGCAAUUAUCUUGCAGCUCAAAGCUGUGACACGAGUCAAUGGUCGUAUGACUCAGAAUUGCUACCUCACAUCCACAAAGCUGCAUUUUGCAAACACAAUCACAUCCGUGUGUGGCCGUUUAAGUGAAAUAUUUUCACCCAGUUAAACGCUAAUUAGCCCAGAUUUCCACACAUCCACUCUAUGGUUAGUUUAACACUGCAGGUCUUCAUGGUUAAUUUGGAUUUUUGGGUGAAAUUCAUUUUUUUCCUAUCUCAGCUUUCACAUAAAUGCGGCCUCAGACUGUCUGGUGUGUAAACCAAAUGCGGCCCCCAAGAGACCUGUAGAAGGAGCAACGAUGUCACUGACAACAUAGUGUUUGCGGAAAAUGUGUUCCAGCGUGUCGGAGCUCAUCUGUUUAACAUCUCGUAUCUACAGAGGAGCGAUGUAAGAGGAGGUAUAAAUGUUUGGGAAAUGAGGCAAGGCUUUUCAAUCUCCAGAGACUUCUACUAAAGAUGAAAUCACACCAUUGCUACAAGUAAUAAAUGAACCGUACUACUAUCACCAUAAAUAUCCACUUUAUGCUUCAUCAUUUGAGUGGCAUUAAUUUGAAGUCAAAUAUAAAGUAAAUUUUGUUACGCAGAAAGAAUUGGCAGAUUCAAUUUUGUUGCUCCCUGGACUCUCCCUGUGCCCACAAAGCACACAUUUUAGACUUUGGAUGAUGUCAAUUUUGGAUCUAUGUUACCUGGCCAUUCAAACUGAGGUCAGAUUGGAAAAAAAACUGAUACGUAUCCGAUCUAGGACCACAAAGUGACCAGGUCGAUCAAAAAAAAAAUCGAAACUGAGCCGUUCAGACUGUCGCACAAAAAAAUGAGAUACAUACGCAUGUGCCUGAAGUGUGAACCGAGCCUUUGUGAUAAAUGUUGAAAUUAUUCAUUUUAUAGAGAAAAACAUGUUUUGUCCUUCAGUUUUAUAAAUUGAAAUUAGGGCUGACUCACCAAGUGUCGACCCCCUGAGUCAUUCAUUUACAUCCCCAGUGAUUGAGUGAACUGGUUUCUCCUUUUCCAAGGCAACUGUAAUUGAGUGAAUGUCUGGAUGAGAUAAUUAUGUGUAAAAGAAGUGAAGCAAUACAGUGGAAGCCAAAAUAUAUAUUUUAUACAAUGAAAAUUACAGUCCUAGACAUGGUGGGAAAAAGAAAUGAUAUGGUCCUUAAGGGCAUUGCAUCUUGAGGUUUCUAAUUCACUCCAUUUGCUUACCCAAUUGUUAAAGUUGUUCAUGGGGAUGAUAUUAAACUCACAAAUUAGUAUUUGAUAUGCACAUAGAACUAAUUUUGUGGCGAAUAAGCUGUAUAUUAUGGAAACAUAAUAGCAAAUUGUGUGCACACUAUACCUAUUUUGUUUACCACAAAUGAGUAUUGUGGCCCCAACUUAUUAGUUUUUUCUGUGUCAUAUCUAGGGAUACAUAAAAAAAAAAACAAUAACCCCAAUCUGUCACCAACAUAAAACUUGAACUGGAAUAUUUUAGCAUUCCCAUUGUCACGUCAACUAACAGAGGCAGAGAUCGUUCAGUCAAAAUAUCCACUACUCUCCAUUCAGACCUGCAGGGGGCAGAGAAAAAAUGACCACAUCACAUAUCACCAAACUUCCUGUCAGAUGCCAGGGAUGGCCAUGUGGCCUACAGACCAGCAUGUGAGCUGGGGGGAACAAACAAGGAAAAUCUCAGCUUCUGGUCACACACAACUGGUUAAAGAAAGAAUACAAGGUAUGCAUGAUGAGGCAACGAUGCAGACAGAAGAGGAGGGCACAGAGCUGUUCCUUCAAAACAGCAGCUUGGCAGCCUGGCAGAGGAUUUGGCAAGGACUUGUUCCCUUCUCCAGCAGUUCUAGGAAAGGGGGAUCAUUUCCAACCCCAGCCAAA